UUCGUCCCCAGACACAAUUCUUUCUCAGCUAUUAUUAUUGUAUAUAUAAUUUUUUUAUAAUACAAGAAAUAUUUGAUAAUUGUACAAAAGUCGGAACGCGAAUGUUGCAAUACUGGAGGUGUAGAAACAAUUCUAUUUUUCGAAACUGAGAUUUUACAUGUCGAAUGUAGGGAAGGACAAUGUGAAUGAAAGAGAAAGAGGAACUGAGAAUCGAAGCGAUCAAUAAAUAUUAAAAGGCUGCGAUAAGCUGAGACCUGCAAUUCAAAAAUCAAACUUUCUUAUUUUUUAUAAACACGAUGUAUUUUGGUGCAUAUUUCUAUACUCAUUUUAAUCGGAAACAUCUCACAAACACAUACGUUGUCUCGUGGAUAUCUGACAUUGAAUCAUGUUACACUACUCGAGGGUCAACAGGCUGUCGAACUUUUCGUCAAGGGAACUUUCUCUCCGUCGUGGAGAUGACGAGUGUGCAACGAAGACUACUUUUUAGUUGUUAAAUAGCUUUUUGGAAAAACUAAUAAGCAUUUGGGCAUAACAAUUUUUCAUAUUAUUUAUUUACGGCUCAACGAAUUAAUUGAUCCAUUAUCGUUUGAAAGAAAAUAUUCUCUUUUCUUGUCCGAAAAGAAUAUAAUAAACAAUUAAUCUCUCUCUUCUAGGCAACUAGUUA